ACCUCGCUGGCUCGGUCAGUAGAGCAUGUGACUCUUGAUCUCAGGGGCGUGAGUUCAAGCCCCACGCUGGGUG
rnacentral:tRNA from 1 species